rnacentral:lncRNA from 1 species
GUGAAUAUCAAUUGGUGAAAAAUUAUGGUGUCCGAACAUUCACACUAUAUAUAUACUAUGGAAUAUGGUCAACCUAGCUCAUACAUAUAGAGUUCCAUGAGCUACCAGAAUAAAAGAUUACGGAAACUAGAACAACGCUCUCUACUAUCUACUAGGAAAGAGAGUUAUCAGGAAAUCAGGUCUUUCAAAAUAUGGAAGAUAAAGAACGAUCAAUGCUGAAUAGCUACAGAAGUAGAGGUAAAAUAUAGUGCAUAUUUAGGGGCUAGCUUGGUGAAGUGAUGAUAUAGAUAGUGGCUGGCUUGGGGGAGAUUGGAAGGAAAUAUGCAAAUGAAAGAGGAAAAUGCAAGAGGGUAUAAUGGAUUUGGAGAACUACUUUAAAAAUAUAACAGUUCAUAGAUGAUACAUCAAUAUUAAUGUAACAACAUUGAUAAGUUUUUCAAAUAAAUAUACAUCCCAUGGCAUAUAUCAUGGCAUUCAUUGAACUCACACCCCCUGUAAGUUUAUUUGUGUCACACUAUUGUUUGCAAUGUUCAAAAGAAAUCAUCAAUCCAUUUUUGCAUUGUUUCACUAUGAAUGCUUAGCACAAAUGGGAUA